rnacentral:rRNA from 1 species
CUUGGUCAUUUAGAGGAAGUAAAAGUCGUAACAAGGUCUCCGUAGGUGAACCUGCGGAGGGAUCAUUAACGAAUGGCCCUAGGCCUUCAACCUUGUAAACCUGUGGAAGCAAAACGUGCUUUGGCGCUUUCGGGCGCCAACUUUAUGCUUAGAUCAGUCUUGAUGUCUGAAUCAAAAACAAGAAAUAAAACUUUCAACAAAGGAUCUCUUGGCUCUCGCAUCGAUGAAGAACGCAGCGAAGCGCGAAAUGUAGUGUGAAUCGCAGAACAUUGUGAAUCAUCGAAUCUUUGAACGCACAUUGCGCCUCCAGUAACUUGGAGGCAUGCCUGUCUGAGCGUCAUUUAAAACCAUAGACCCUUCUGGGUUUGUAUUGGGCCUCGCCUCCGGGCGUAGCCUCAAAGUCAUCGGUCUUAUACGCGGACGAGCUCCAUUCGGACGGAACGUGUGCAGACCUUAAUUCAUCUGACUUGACCUCAGAUCAGGUAGGACUACCGCCUGAACUUAAGCAUAUCAAUAAGCGGAGGA